rnacentral:rRNA from 1 species
UAGGGAAUCUUCCGCAAUGGGCGAAAGCCUGACGGAGCAACGCCGCGUGAGUGAUGAAGGUCUUCGGAUCGUAAAACUCUGUUAUUAGGGAAGAACAAAUGUGUAAGUAACUAUGCACGUCUUGACGGUACCUAAUCAGAAAGCCACGGCUAACUACGUGCCAGCAGCCGCGGUAAUACGUAGGUGGCAAGCGUUAUCCGGUAUUAUUGGGCGGAAAGCGCGCGUAGGCGGUUUUUUAAGUCUGAUGUGAAAGCCCACGGCUCAACCGUGGAGGGUCAUUGGAAACUGGAAAACUUGAGUGCAGAAGAGGAAAGUGGAAUUCCAUGUGUAGCGGUGAAAUGCGCAGAGAUAUGGAGGAACACCAGUGGCGAAGGCGACGUGCUGGUCUGUAACUGACGCUGAUGUGCGAAAGCGGGGUGAUCAAACAGG